AAUAUUUCUAUAACAUCUUAAUCUGAUGGUUAAAGGCUAUUCAGAUAACUCUUUUAAUUUUUUAAACCAAAAGUUUUGGAAAUUAAAAGAUUUCUUCUUUUCUUUCACCCUCGGGCCUUAUACCUGAACUAAAUUUUAUAUUACCUAAUUUUACAGUAGUUAGUCAAUUCUAACAUUCUUGUCGUGUUUAAAAUAAGAUCAAACAAUAGAAAUAGAAUAGUACCUCU
rnacentral:lncRNA from 1 species